rnacentral:rRNA from 1 species
GACGAACGCUGGCGGCGUGCUUAACACAUGCCAGUCGAACGGAAAGGCCCUGCUUGCAGGGUGCUCGAGUGGCGAACGGGUGAGUAACACGUGGGUGAUCUGCCCCUUACUUUGGGAUAAGCCUGGGAAACUGGGUCUAAUACUGGAUAGGACCAUGCUGUAGGUGGUGUGGUGGAAAGAUUAGUUUCGGUAAGGGAUGAGCUCGCGGCCUAUCAGCUUGUUGGUGGGGUAAUGGCCUACCAAGGCGUCGACGGGUAGCCGGCCUGAGAGGGUGGACGGCCACAUUGGGACUGAGAUACGGCCCAGACUCCUACGGGAGGCAGCAGUGGGGAAUAUUGCACAAUGGGCGCAAGCCUGAUGCAGCGACGCCGCGUGGGGGAUGACGGCCUACGGGUUGUAAACUCCUUUCAGCCAUGACGAAGCCCUUGUGGUGACGGUAGUGGUAGAAGAAGCACCGGCUAACUACGUG